UACGUAGGGUGCAAGCGUUAAUCGGAAUUACUGGGCGUAAAGCGUGCGCAGGCGGUUAUGUAAGACAGAUGUGAAAUCCCAGGGCUCAACCUUGGAACUGCAUUUGUGACUGCAUAGCUAGAGUACGGUAAAGGGGGAUGGAAUUCCGCGUGUAGCAGUGAAAUGCGUAGAUAUGCGGAGGAACACCGAUGGCGAAGGCAAUCCCCUGGACCUGUACUGACGCUCAUGCACGAAAGCGUGGGGAGCAAACAGG
rnacentral:rRNA from 1 species